UCAAACAACCUUCUGCCAUUUCAAUCUCAGCCGCAAGCUAGAAAACAUUUUCUCCUCUGCCACUUCGAACCUUAACGACUUGUAUUCUCAAAACCUCUGCCCCAAACUCCGAUCAAGGCGAAGCGAGCAGAGAUCUAACGGCGUGCUUCGAGAAGGUACAGUCGUACGGAGGUGGUGGCGUGGCGCGCGUGGGAGGAGCGGACGUGUGUUGGCGUCGACAGCUGAAGGGGAAGUUAGAAUCCUUAGGGUUUCUGCUUCCUGAAAUGUAAUGGGCUACUGGCUGUUGGGCUUGUGCAACCGGGUUAGGCUAGUAUUUGAAUAGUUUAGGUAUUGAGUUUAGUUUUAGUUUUUUUAAUUGUAAUUGUAAUUGGGCUGUGUAAAUGGACAUUUGGGCUAAAUUUAAAUAUUUAUUUAUUUCUGAAAUGUAUGUGGGUUUUAAUAGUUGGGCUCGGGCCGGGUAAAAUUUGGGUAUUACAGUGUCCAUAUUGUAGUAAAUAUGUAAUUGUUUUCUAUUUAUUUGAAUGAUGAAUGAAUAAGUAAAUAAAGUUAAUUUCACAUUUCACUAUUA